rnacentral:rRNA from 1 species
UAGUCCACACCGUAAACGAUGAAUGCCAGUCGUCGGAUAGCAUGCCAUUCGGUGACACACCUAACGGAUUAAGCAUUCCGCCUGGGGAGUACGGCCGCAAGGUUAAAACUCAAAGAAAUUGACGGGGGCCCGCACAAGCGGUGGAGCAUGUGGUUUAAUUCGAAGCAACGCGCAGAACCUUACCAACCCUUGACAUCCUGAUCGCGGUUUACGAGAGAUCGUUUCCUUCAGUUCGGCUGGAUCAGUGACAGGUGCUGCAUGGCUGUCGUCAGCUCGUGUCGUGAGUAUGUUCGGUUAAGUCCGGCAACGAGCGCAACCCACAUCCCUAGUUGUCAGCAGUUCGGCUGGGCACUCUAUGGAAACUGCCCGUGUAUAAGCGGAGGAAGGUGUGGAUGACGUCAAGUCCUCAUGGCCCUUACGGGUUGGGCUACACACGUGCUACAAUGGUAGGUGACAGUGGGUUAAUCCCCAAAAGCCAUCUCAGUUCGGAUUGUCGUCUGCUAACG